CUGAUGGAUUGGAUGUGCAGUGUGAAAGAAAGCCUGAACAACUGGAAUAGUGGCAUUACUGUAUACUGAAAUGAAGAAAACUGGACAAAUAUAAAAAGGUUUGGAAGUCUGCAAAAAAUUCAUCUAUGCCCUUCAGACAUUUUGGCCCAGCUCUCCAGUAUCCUUACCUUAAAUCGCUUCAAAAUACGGCAAAUUCGUUGAAGCCAAAGCUCUAACAGAUCAAGCCAGAUCUUCAGCAAGCACCCAGAAUCAGAAAAUGCCCACAGGGGAAAGAAAGCAAUAGAAAAUAAGUGUCCAAACCAACACCUAAGAAGAAUAUCAUGGGAUAAGAGAAUGCAUCAUCCACAAAUGCUUUAUCAUACCCUGCUGUUUUGG
rnacentral:lncRNA from 1 species